rnacentral:rRNA from 1 species
UACGGAGGGUGCAAGCGUUAUCCGGAUUCACUGGGUUUAAAGGGUGCGUAGGUGGGCAGGUAAGUCAGUGGUGAAAUCUCCGGGCUCAACCCGGAAACUGCCAUUGAUACUAUCAGUCUUGAAUAUCGUGGAGGUAAGCGGAAUAUGUCAUGUAGCGGUGAAAUGCUUAGAUAUGACAUAGAACACCAAUUGCGAAGGCAGCUUACUACCCGAAUAUUGACACUGAGGCACGAAAGCGUGGGGAUCGAACAGG